rnacentral:lncRNA from 1 species
GAGUAUUAGUUCUUUUACAUCCUUUUUCCUCCCGUUCUUGUUGUAGCAUUAGGAUUCUACACUAGUGAAAUUUUUUGGGAAAAGGUAUACUCAGAUUUGAGAGGGGUACAAAUAGGUUCAUGAUACCACUUUACUGGCAGGCGCACUUGUUAAUAUUUAGAGUCUUUGUAAUUUAUCAGAAAAGAAAUGAUCUUCGGUCUUUGUUCAAGUACCCAGGAGACUGCUGCUGUAGCAAGAAUAAUAGCGGAAUCUAUGCUUUGACUGUAUGUGAUCUUUGUUACUUAAAUGCAUGUUCGUGGUUGUUUGAAAGGGAAACUUGAAGAGAUGUAUCAGAGUUUGCUCUCUCGCUUGAUCUUUGUUCUUGUUUUCUUUAAUUUGCUAUUCCAUCGAGCCUUUGUAAUUUUUUGACGAGGAAGAAAGAUCUAGUUGCAUGCUACCAACUAUUUGAAGAAGAAAAAUAUAUCGAGGAAUGAACAGAAAGGAAAUCCCAAUUACAAGUAAAUCACUUUGACAAAGGUGCUACACAACUAAGGACAUAUGAUGACUCAAUGCAGGAAACUGGUCCUUCGUUAUGUUGCUCUUUAUUCUUGACGCCUUGAAUGUCACUUGCAGGUUGGCAAUACACUUGAGAGAGAGCUUGAUGAAUUCUAGAGUGUGCAAGUGUGAUGUUUUGCCUUUGCUUCAUGUUAAUAUUACAUAAGUGCCAUCACUUGAAUGAUGCAAGCAUGUCUGGUACAAAGGCAUUCCCCAUAAAGUGACUGCUCUACUGUUUGCACUGUUGCGUGUGUGCAGAGGAACAGUUGCAGUUACUUUACAACUGUGGGGAGUUGACUGGUACUGUCAGCAAGGGAACUGAUGUCGAUCUGUUCCCUCUGUUGUUUCUUGGACUCUGAAUGUUGGAACAUGCCCCAGACUUGAGACUAGUUGAUCUUGAACACUCAGAGGACGUGGAACAGGUUCCCCAUCUGGUUCUCAACAAUAAGUUUGUUAAAUCAUCAAAACAUAGUAAGACACAUAACUUAUCACAGUCCAAUUUCAAAUCUAGACUUAACAGUUGUCUAAUCUUGAUUUUCUUGGAUUCUGAUUAAAAUUUCGUAUUUGGUUAAGUGCCAGUUUGAAAAGCUUGAUCGAUAGAAUUAGAUAGUCUUGGAAGAUUUUAGAUAUGUGACUACAUUGGCAAAGACAAGUACCUGAUCAACUUUGGCAAAUUGAUGUGAGAGGGUUUAGGAGAUAUGUCUUAUCAUGAAACAUGCGGCAAAAGAACUUAGUGACGUCAACCUAAUCAUAUACGUACUAAUUUGCUUAGAGAUGUGUAUUUUUGCGAGUACAAAUAUAGGAGUCGACCUCUAUAUAUGACAAAAGUGGUAUAUGUUUGCAUAUGUGCACAUGUACACGUAGACGUGCACAUAGCUGUUCUUUUUUCUUCUUUUGCCAACAAUUUAUAACUGAUCUAGCUUAUGCUCACCUCAACUAUUAUCUGAUCUAGCUUAAGCUCACCUCAACUAUUUCAUCGAGUACUUACUACCUCCCACUAACACAUGUACCGGACUGAGAAGAAAUCACUUAAUAUUUUUUUCUCUACUGAGAUUUGAACCCCAAUCUCCCAUGAUUUUUACUCGCUUGCAUUAAUAGGCCAUACCGUUGGGUGCAUGUCUUAUUACAAACUACCUAUGACAAAAGGAGUGGAGGGUCCAAAAAACUAGAAACCUUCAUAGUAUUAUUUAACAGAUAUUACUCAGCAGGCUAACAAGGAAACAAAAGUCACCAGCCAGACAAAGCAAAAGUGCAAACUUGUUUAGACGCCAGAAGAAAAUUCCUCAUGAGGUAUCAAUUAGGCUGUAGUGCAUUUGAUAAGAGUACAUAAUCUUGCACAAGUAGCUCAAAAGGAAAAUCAGUCUCUCAUUUACAAAUACUGGACAGUAAAGGCCAAUUUCCUGCACAUAAGUUUUGUGCUGACACUGGCCAUGGAUAUUUAGAAGUGUUUGACAUUAGCAUUUGAUUUUAAGUAAGCAAAUGCAGCAAUGUUGGCUCAAGGGUCAGAUGGACACCCAUCACACCUUAUCAUCAUGGAACCACCACCUGGUUUCCUUGGGAGAUCUGCCAUUUCUACAGUUCUUCACGUAGCGGUCAUUAUCUUCGGGGCGUUGCUGCACAAGUGACGGGAACCAAUAAGAAUUAAAACUAAGAUAAAGCACGAAAAGCCCGUCCGAACAAUGUGGUAGAUUACAUAUUUUCGCAGAGUACAAGGAAGAAAUAGGUCCCGACAUAUUUGGAACAGCAGGCCCUUUUAGCAUAGCGCAAUCUCAUAAUAGCAACUCAAAUUAACAUUAUAAGGGACACAUGAAACGCACCUUCACAGUUGAACUUGACAGCAUGGAGAGAAUGCUGAUGCAUAUAGAACUGACUGUCAUGGCAGGAGACCAUGAAUCAUACAAAAUAUCUGCAAAGACAUGAAGAAGCUGUUGUCAACUGCUGGCUUUACUGAUGCAUCUCCAAUUUCUAUCAGGUGUAGAAGAAUCUUUCAUGAGAUGGAAGCUUAGCUCUAGGUCGCUAGCACACCAAUUAGUGAACUGCCCAUCGACCUUUAAGUUUUCACCCGCAGAAAAAAAAAA